AGGAUGAUCCUGUAUCGCGUAAGGUUGCCAUCAACUGUAGCAUCACAUCUAAGCUGAAGCUAUGAGCCGGAAGAUCCUUGAAUCUGAGGGGAUGAAAUCCAGGCACAAUGUUCAAUAGUGAUGAAUCUGGUAGAGAUCAUAAAUGGUGUAAGUUGUCUGCAAGAUUGCUCACUUGUUGCAUAUAACAUGAAUUUUAAAAAUGAAAUUUCACUUUGUUGUUUCAUUAACAACUCACACUUAAUUACAUUUAUACCUUGCACAGGAAGAUAGCCUUCGUUUCGGAGACCAGGGAAAGCAUAGUAUGCAAGUAGAUUAGCUGCACAGCUAGUGCGCAAGACGAUGCCUGGAAGCUUCAGAGAUUGAGUUAUUUCUGCAACACAAUACAUUAAUCCGUCAUAGAUAAUGCAUGG
rnacentral:lncRNA from 1 species